rnacentral:rRNA from 1 species
AAGUCGUAACAAGGUCUCCGUUGGUGAACCAGCGGAGGGAUCAUUACUGAGUUACCGCUCUAUAACCCUUUGUGAACAUACCUACAACUGUUGCUUCGGCGGGUAGGCCGUCCCCUGAAAAGGACGCCUCCCGGCCCGGACCGGACCCCCCGCGGGACCGGACCCGGCGCCCGCCGGAGGAUAACCAAACUCUAUUGUAACGACGUUUCUUCUGAGUGGCAUAAGCAAAAUAAUCAAAACUUUUAACAACGGAUCUCUUGGUUCUGGCAUCGAUGAAGAACGCAGCGAAAUGCGAUAAGUAAUGUGAAUUGCAGAAUUCAGUGAAUCAUCGAAUCUUUGAACGCACAUUGCGCCCGCCAGCAUUCUGGCGGGCAUGCCUGUUCGAGCGUCAUUUCAACCCUCAAGCUCUGCUUGGUGUUGGGGCUCUACGGUCGACGUAGGCCCUCAAAGGUAGUGGCGGACCCUCCCGGAGCCUCCUUUGCGUAGUAACAUUUCGUCUCGCACUGGGAUCCGGAGGGACUCUUGCCGUAAAACCCCCCAAUUUUCCAAAGGUUGACCUCGGAUCAGGUAGGAAUACCCGCUGAACUUAA